rnacentral:rRNA from 1 species
UACGGGGGGAGCAAGCGUUGUUCGGAUUUACUGGGCGUAAAGGGCGCGUAGGCGGCCUCUGCAAGUCGACUGUGAAAUCUCCGGGCUUAACCCCGGAAAGGUCAGCCGAUACUGCAGGGCUAGAGUGCAGAAGGGGCAACUGGAAUUCUCGGUGUAGCGGUGAAAUGCGUAGAUAUCGAGAGGAACACCUGCGGCGAAGGCGGGUUGCUGGGCUGACACUGACGCUGAGGCGCGAAAGCUAGGGGGAGCGAACGGG